rnacentral:rRNA from 1 species
UACGGGGGGGGCAAGCGUUGUUCGGAAUUACUGGGCGUAAAGGGCUCGUAGGCGGCCAACUAAGUCGGACGUGAAAUCCCUCGGCUUAACCGGGGAACUGCGUCCGAUACUGGAUGGCUUGAGAUUGGGAGAGGGAUGCGGAAUUCCAGGUGUAGCGGUGAAAUGCGUAGAUAUCUGGAGGAACACCGGUGGCGAAGGCGGCAUCCUGGACCGGCAUUGACGCUGAGGAGCGAAAGCCAGGGGAGCAAACGGG